rnacentral:rRNA from 1 species
AACGAACGCUGGCGGCGCGCCUAAUACAUGCAAGUCGAGCGAGAAGACGUAGCAAUACGUUUGUAAAGCGGCGAACGGGUGAGGAAUGCAUGGGUAACCUACCCUCGAGUGGGGAAUAACUAGCCGAAAGGUUAGCUAAUACCGCGUACGCUCCUUGGACUUCGGUUCAGGGAGGAAAGCGAUACCGUGGGUACCGCGCUCUUGGAUGGGCUCAUGUCCUAUCAGCUUGUUGGUGAGGAACGGCUCACCAAGGCUUCGACGGGUAGCUGGUCUGAGAGGACGAUCAGCCACACUGGCACUGCGACACGGGCCAGACUCCUACGGGAGGCAGCAGUAAGGAAUAUUGCGCAAUGGGCGAAAGCCUGACGCAGCGACGCCGCGUGGGGGAGUGAAGGUC